rnacentral:pre_miRNA from 1 species
UUGUGAAGGUUGUGGUGGUGAUGGUGAUGAUGAUGAUGAUGAUGGUGAUCAUCAUCAUCAUUAUCAUCAUCAUCACCACCACAACCU